ACUUCAAACCAGUUAUGUGCGAACUUCCUGUGCAGUUGUAGCCGGAACACCACAGCAAAUAAUUUUUUCCUCCCUUGUUUUAUGUUGACUUUCUACUAACAUGAUAGACAAACUCUCUCUCAUAUUUUUAUGCCAUACGAAGGUAUCAACACAUCUAUUCCAGGACUCCAGCCAAGGAUCUCUGACAUCCACACAGAAAUGAGUGAGCAGGAUGUGACCUACUCAGAGCUGAAAUUUCAUAGUCCUAAUGAACAGGAAAGCAGACAGAGAGCUGAGAAGGCCAAGAAUGCAGAUUCUUCCUCUCUGUCUCCACACCUGCAGCUCACUUUAGUGAUUCUUGGAAUCUUCUGCCUGGUUUUGUUGGUAACAAUAGGUGUCCUGAGUGCUAAGGUUCUCCAGAAUGAAAACCCCAACAAACAACAUGAAUUAUUGGAAAACCUCACCCAACUGCAGAAAACUCUGGAAAUCUGCCAGCAGCAAAAAGAUGAUCUCCAAGCAAAGAACACAAACCUCACAAAUAUGGUGAACAUUAAAGUUCUGCAGAACAAAACCCUCAACAAGCAAUGUGAAAUUGUGGAAAAUAUCACCCAACUGCAGAAAACACUGGACAUCUGCCACCAGCAAAGAGAUAAUCUCCAAGCAAAGAACACAAACCUCACAAAUAUUGUGAACAUGAAAGGAAAUAAAUGCAGACCUUGCCCAGAGAGCUGAAUACAGCAUGGAGAGAAGUGUUACCAUUUUUCUAAGGAAAUGAAAACAUGGCACAAGAGUAAAGAAUACUGUUCUUUUUGGGGAUCCCUACUGCUUAAAAUAAAGAACAAGGAAGAGCUGGAUUUCAUAAAGUCUCAGGCCUCAUUUCACUGGAUUGGAUUAUCCCGUAUGGCAAUCGGUCAUGGCUGGGUGUGGCAGGAUGGCACAGCCCACUCCACUGACCUUUUUCCAGUAAAGAUACAAGAGCCUGGAGAAAAAUGUGCACUUUUCAAAGCUGGGGAAGCCUUCUCCUAUAACUGUACAGGCCAAUAUCACUAUAUUUGUGAAAAGAAGGCUACUCAGAAAAAGACGACUGAACUGGCAAAAAGAAGAUUAUAGUAUCCAUGGCAAUCAGAAUCGAUGACAUUCCAAAGGGAAAGAUAAUUCACCUCUUGAGUUUGCAGAGUUGCCAUUUUCAAUGAGGAGCAGCAACUUCUGAUGAUAAACAAUGUCCCUUUCAGAAAUUUUCACAGACAAUCAAAACACUCCUACCAUGCAUGCUGAUUUAUCAAACAUGGCUGGGAAUGGCAGAGUUUAUUUUAAAGGAUCAGUUAGUUCACCAUGAAGAUAAGAAACUGGAUUUAUUUUUAUUUUAUUGCAUCCCAUACUCCCUGUGUCAAGUUCUGCAUUUGUAA